rnacentral:rRNA from 1 species
GAUCCUGGCUCAGGAUGAACGCUAGCGACAGGCUUAACACAUGCAAGUCGAGGGGCAGCGAGGGAGUGGCAACACUUCUGUCGGCGACCGGCGCACGGGUGAGUAACGCGUAUGCAACCUACCCUUCACAGGGGGAUAACCGGGAGAAAUUCCGACUAAUACCGCAUACGUCCUCCGGGGGCAUCCCCGGGGGAUGAAAGAGUUAUCGGUGAAGGAUGGGCAUGCGUGAUAUUAGGUAGUUGGCGGGGCAACCGGG